GUUUUUGUAUUCGAUAGGCGUUGCGUUCAGUGGCUAUGGUGGAAUAGUAAGACGCAAGCAAAACGAUUGAUCGAACUGGUGAUGUUUUUUUCUAUUUCCUUUCCUUUGCUUCUUUAUUAAUCAUCAAUGCCCUAAAAUAAUUCCAUAUAAUUUGGAAAUUUCAAGUUCCCCGAGCAUAAUUUAUACUCGAAGUUGUGUUUGAUUUUACUUUGCUUUGCUUCUGUCAAUAACUUGUAAAAUACCAUUUAUUGAUUGUACACUGAUGCGUUUUCAACAUAUUUCUCUGAAGAUUUACAAGUCAAUGACAACACCAAAGUUUCAAAUCACAUACAAUUAUUUAUUUGAAUACAAGUCAGAGUACAAACCCGUUAAUCACAAAAGCAUAAAUCAACAGUAGAUACUAAAUCACAACAAAGUUCACUCCCCAAUUCACAAAAUAUAGAACAGCUGCAGUUAACGAUGCAGAUUGCAGAAUAUAAUAAGCUUCUUAGUCAGUGCAGCAACGAUACAAGAAAAACCUCUCCAUCGAUCGCCCGCAUUCAGCGCAAACAACUCUCUCCGGCACACUUCCGGUGGUUCCGGGCAAAAUCAGGCGAUUGCAGUGAUGCGGCGGCUGGUUUGCCUCAAGAUGAUCAUUCAAAGCCGGCAGAAACCCUCUCUCUUGAGCAUCCCCUUGCCAAUCAUUGUAGUUCGUCAAUCCCUUCAAAACACUUUCGCCACUUGCCCUACGCAUCCAGUCGUUUGAGCCACGGCAGAUCACCGCCCAUCCCUGGUCGUUUCCGUCGUAGGUAAGCAUCACAUUAAUCUCUCUCAAAAUCGGAUCUUCCUCAAAAGACUUCCCGUGUUGUAACUUGGAGUGCAACAUGCUCUCUAGUCGCACCCAGAAGAACCAUAUCAGGGUCAAAUCUGGAAGCACGUAGCUAAGAUUCUCUGAUCGGAUUAUGUCAUUGUUCUUUCUCACUUUCUCCCUAGGGUUACUCUUUCCAACAUACAACAUCUCCAGCUGGAUCCCUGCUGCACGCGCCACCGCCUGUGCGGUGGUUGUAAACCUCCUUAUCCACUCCAAAUCCUCCCCUCCGUACAAACAAAUGUACUUCCCGUCAGCAAUCUACAUGAUAAUCGGGAAAAUAUGAAUAUCAAUCGGAUUAAUUUACAGUAAUUAGGUUAAAAAAGAGAAUAGAAUUAUUAGAAUACCCAAUUGAAAAUCAUUGGCUCGAUGGAAUCUGCUAGCAACUCAAUCCUCCAAGUUUCCUCCUUCCACAGGGCUUCUUCCCUCAAGCUAGUGAAAGGGAAAGCCACACUCCCCCAAAUCCACAUCAUAUGUAACGCGUUGGUGUUAACAAUCCUCCCUUGAGGAUCCAUCACCACCAACAUUGGUUUCUGGUUGAAGUGCCACACCUCCUUGAUGUACUUGAUCGCUGCUGGAUCAAGCAACGAGGGGUGGAACACUGAAUACCAUGGCAUCAUGUUUCUUACCCCCUCGAACUUGAUCUGGUCCUCAUCGGUCCACGGUGUGGACCGAAGAUUGGGAACCACCGGGAGCCAGACGACUUCGUACUGGCUCUCGGGCCUUGUUGGGCUUUGCUUCGCUUCCCUAUACAUCUGGUCAAGAACCGAUAGCUCCUCUGGAGGGAUGUCGAGGUCCGAAAUGAGAAGCAACACAAUCUUUUUCUUUAGUACCUCGAUUGUAACCUAUAUGAUCAUGCAUGAAAACUAAAUUCGAUUAUUUAUUGUAUAUCUAAAAUCUAAAUAUAUAAUAAAGUUUGAUGAAAAUUAUGCAGUUGAUCCGAUCGAACACUCACCCGAGUCUUUGUAGAGCUUUCAUACAAAGGUGGUUGAUCGUCCUUCAAGUAAAUCAAAUGCCUGAGAGGCUUCGUGUUAUCGAGAUGCCCGGUAUCCAUAAUGCGAAGAAUCGUUAGGUACGCUUCAAUCUGCCUCUUUUCAUCUAAUUAUCAGUGUAAAAAAAUUCAACUUAGUUAUGAAAAUUGAUGCAUACACGUUCAUUAAGUGAUGAUAUGUAACAUUUUUGGUCUUACUAAUGUGGUGAUUGCAAAGGUCUAAUUGGUCUUUGAGAUGAUCAUGAAUAUUGCUGAUCUUGUGGGCCAAACUCGAUAACUCCCAAGCUUCUGUGGUCGUCGUAAUAUGCCUAAGUUAAAAAAAAAAAUGUUAUAUUCAUUGAUAAGUUGUAGUAAUGGAAGUAAUUUGUGUUUUUCUAUGAUGAGGGUAUUUAUGUCUUUUGCAUAGAAAAAAAAAAAGAGAAUUGAUAACAUACUCAUGGCCCAUUCCGAUAAGGUUGAUAAGUAUGGACGCACAAGCCACAAUGCUACGGAUAAUCCAAUAAACCGCAGUGGGAAUAUGAGCGGUGGCCGUCAUUAAUUCCGGUGUUUCGGGGGUGAUAUACUGACCGGGGAGCUCUUUAAAUUCAACAAUGCAACGUGUCAACUCAAGCAUGGCCUUAAUGAGGGUGGUGACAGCCUCAAACCUCGGUUUGAGAGCUUCACCACGCUCAAGCACGUCAGGUAGCUGCUUAAGGUGGGCCAGUGAUUUGGCGAGUGGGUUGGCAGUAUAAAGCUGUGCCACCAACCAAAACUCGCCAUAAUUCACUGCAAAAGCUGCUAAAGAAAUAACAGCUUUUGCAUCCCACUCGUAGUUGGAAAGCAUGUUGAAGAUCCCCGUAGUGCUUGCAUGCGCGUCUCCACCACCAAUACACUUGCAAGAAAUCUGUAACACAUUUCAAAUGUAAAAAAUCUAACACAAAAAAAUAGUUCUCAAAAAUUAAAAUGCAUUUUUUUUUACGGUUUUACCUCGCACGAAACCUUAUUGAUUGUGAUUGCCAUUAUUUCAAGCAUCUCGUCAAGAUCGCUGUAAAUCACACGCUCAAUAAUUGCGUCCACUUCCGCUUGAUUACCCUACAAAUAAAAAAUCAAAUUUCAGAAUUCGAUAUUCGAAUAAAUGUAUGGAUUUUAAUUUAUUACAUACAGGAGGGGCGGGUGGUUGGGUGUUGGCGGGGGCGGCCCUACGCAUGAUGUCAUCGAUGAUCUGUAGAAGAGGUUUAACAUCAAAGGAGGAGCCAUCUGGUGCAUGUGUGGCCAAGAUAUGUUUCAUCAUGGCAUUGUCAUCUGAAGAUGAG
rnacentral:lncRNA from 1 species